rnacentral:rRNA from 1 species
GAUGAACGCUGGCGGCGUGCCUAAUACAUGCAAGUCGAGCGACCAGACGAGGAGCUUGCUCCUCUGACGUUAGCGGCGGACGGGUGAGUAACACGUGGAUAACCUACCUCUAUUACUGGGAGGAUAUCGGGAAAACGCUGCCAAUACUAGAGAAUAUGUCCAACGGCAGGGUUCAAUAGUGAAUGACGCUUUGCCUGUCUGAUUGAGCCGAUUCCGCGCCGCAUUAGCUAGUUGGUAAGGUAACGGCUUACCAAGGCAACGAUGCGUAGCCGACCUGAGAGGGUGAUCGGCCACACUGGAACUGAGACACGGUCCAGACUCCUACGGGAGGCAGCAGUAGGGAAUAUUGCACAAUGGGCGCAAGCCUGAUGCAGCAACGCCGCGUGGGUGAUGAAGGCCUUCGGAUCGUAAAGCUCUGUUAUUAGGAAAGAACAGCUGUAGAAGAAACCAUGGACGUCUUGACGGUACCCAAUGAGAAAGCACCGGCUAACUACGUG